rnacentral:tRNA from 1 species
GCCUGGGUGGCUCAGUCGGUUGAGCAUCUGACUUCAGCUCAGAUCAUGAUCUCAUGGUCCGUGGUUUCGAGCCCCACGUUGGGCU